rnacentral:tRNA from 1 species
GCCGGGCAGGGCGGACGAUGAGGCGCAGGAAGGGUUACUUCGACUGCUAAUCGAAUUUGUCGCCGGUUCGAAUCCGGCCCCCGGCA